AACCUCUCCAGUGGCCUAGUGGUUAGAGCCUCUGCCUUGGAUGUGGGAGGUCAUGGGUUCAAACCCUGGCUAAGUCA